AAAGAGAAGGGAGCAUCAGAGGAUGAGAUGGUUGGAUGACAUCACUGGAUCAAUGGACGCACAUGGAGGAAUGUAUGCCCUCAUUUCCUGAAAAUUAGACAUGGCUCUAGACUUGCUUUGGCCAAUAAAGUUCAAGUGGAAAUGAUGUGAAUCACUUCUAGGCAGAAACAUUCAGAAGCCAACUGGUGACUCAAGCUCUAUUUCCUUGCUCAGAUGACCCCUGGAGACUUUGGAUGGCAGUGUCAUAGGAUGGUGGAUCCUCUGCCAUCUUGGGUCUUGGAGUGUUAUAGUGGGCAGACCCCUUGGUGGCCUGUGUUGGACAGCUUCCGGUGGCUGCAGACAUUCCUCAGCUUGUGGCUACAUCACUCCAGUCUUCAAGGAAGACUCCAAAAUUCAUCCUACAUAAACAAGGAAGAAACUGAACAAAGCACAUCACAGCUCAAAUGGUAUACAUUAUUCAGUUCUGAAAGUCUAUAAUUAAACUUUGAUGUCUCUUAACUUAUGGGAAGAAUAUUUUGAUGGAUCUAUGAUUUUAAUUGAAUAAAUAUACUUUAUGGAAUGAAAUGAAAA